rnacentral:rRNA from 1 species
GAUGAACGCUGGCGGCGUGCUUAACACAUGCAAGUCGAACGGAAAGGCUCCUGCUUGCAGGGGUACUCGAGUGGCGAACGGGUGAGUAACACGUGGGUGAUCUGCCCUGCACUUCGGGAUAAGCCUGGGAAACUGGGUCUAGUACCGGAUAGGACGAUGGUUUGGAUGCCAUUGUUGAAAGUUUUUUCGGUGUGGGAUGAGCUCGCGGCCUAUCAGCUUGUUGGUGGGGUAAUGGCCUACCAAGGCGUCGACGGGUAGCCGGCCUGAGAGGGUGGACGGCCACAUUGGGACUGAGAUACGGCCCAGACUCCUACGGGAGGCAGCAGUGGGGAAUAUUGCACAAUGGGCGCAAGCCUGAUGCAGCGACGCCGCGUGGGGGAUGACGGCCUUCGGGUUGUAAACUCCUUUCGCUAGGGACGAAGCGCAAGUGACGGUACCUGGAGAAGAAGCACCGGCUAACUACGUG